GUGUGUCUGAAGUCACACAAUUCUGUGUGUCUCGUGACAACAGAGGCUGGUGCUGAUGGUUUUCCUCCUGAAAGGUUACAAUUUUGGAAAGGAAAAGGAAAAAAAAACACACACAGAAGAAAA